rnacentral:rRNA from 1 species
CCUACGGGGUGCACCAGUGGGGGAUAUUGCACAAUGGGCGCAAGCCUGAUGCAGCCAUGCCGCGUGUAUGAAGAAGGCCUUCGGGUUGUAAAGUACUUUCAGCGAGGAGGAAGGCAUUAAGGUUAAUAACCUUGGUGAUUGACGUCACUCGCAGAAGAAGCACCGGCUAACUCCGUGCCAGCAGCCGCGGUAAUACGGAGGGUGCAAGCGUUAAUCGGAAUUACUGGGCGUAAAGCGCACGCAGGCGGUCUGUCAAGUCGGAUGUGAAAUCCCCGGGCUCAACCUGGGAACUGCAUUCGAAACUGGCAGGCUAGAGUCUUGUAGAGGGGGGUAGAAUUCCAGGUGUAGCGGUGAAAUGCGUAGAGAUCUGGAGGAAUACCGGUGGCGAAGGCGGCCCCCUGGACAAAGACUGACGCUCAGGUGCGAAAGCGUGGGGAGCAAACAGGAUUAGAUACCCGAGUAGUC